UACGUAGGGGGCAAGCGUUGUUCGGAAUUACUGGGCGUAAAGGGCGCGUAGGCGGCACGGCAAGUCAGGAGUGAAAGCCCUGGGCUCAACCCGGGAACUGCUUUUGAAACUGCCGAGCUAGAGUGCGGAAGGGGCAACUGGAAUUCCUGGUGUAGCGGUGAAAUGCGCAGAUAUCAGGAAGAACACCAAUGGCGAAGGCAGCUCUCUGGGACGGUACUGACGCUGAGACGCGAAAGCGUGGGGAGCGAACAGG
rnacentral:rRNA from 1 species